rnacentral:rRNA from 1 species
AUUGAACGCUGGCGGCAGGCCUAACACAUGCAAGUCGAGCGGAUGAAGAGAGCUUGCUCUCUGAUUCAGCGGCGGACGGGUGAGUAAUGCCUAGGAAUCUGCCUGGUAGUGGGGGACAACGUUUCGAAAGGAACGCUAAUACCGCAUACGUCCUACGGGAGAAAGCAGGGGACCUUCGGGCCUUGCGCUAUCAGAUGAGCCUAGGUCGGAUUAGCUAGUUGGUGGGGUAAAGGCUCACCAAGGCGACGAUCCGUAACUGGUCUGAGAGGAUGAUCAGUCACACUGGAACUGAGACACGGUCCAGCCUCCUACGGGAGGCAGCAGUGGGGAAUAUUGGACAAUGGGCGAAAGCCUGAUCCAGCCAUGCCGCGUGUGUGAAGAAGGUCUUCGGAUUGUAAAGCACUUUAAGUUGGGAGGAAGGGCAGUAAGUUAAUACCUUGCUGUUUUGACGUUACCAACAGAAUAAGCACCGGCUAACUUCGUGCCAGCAGCCGCCGUAAGAC